AGUGGGAUAACUGGGUCAAAUGGUCAUUCCAUUCCAAGUUCUCUGAGGAAUCUCCAUACUGUUUUAUAGAGUGGUUGUACCAAUUUGCAGUCCCACCAACAAU
rnacentral:pre_miRNA from 1 species